rnacentral:rRNA from 1 species
GAUGAACGCUGGCGGCGUGCCUAAUACAUGCAAGUCGAGCGAACAGACGAGGAGCUUGCUCCUCUGACGUUAGCGGCGGACGGGUGAGUAACACGUGGAUAACCUACCUAUAAGACUGGGAUAACUUCGGGAAACCGGAGCUAAUACCGGAUAAUAUAUUGAACCGCAUGGUUCAAUAGUGAAAGACGGUUUUGCUGUCACUUAUAGAUGGAUCCGCGCCGCAUUAGCUAGUUGGUAAGGUAACGGCUUACCAAGGCAGCGAUGCGUAGCCGACCUGAGAGGGUGAUCGGCCACACUGGAACUGAGACACGGUCCAGACUCCUACGGGAGGCAGCAGUAGGGAAUCUUCCGCAAUGGGCGAAAGCCUGACGGAGCAACGCCGCGUGAGUGAUGAAGGUCUUCGGAUCGUAAAACUCUGUUAUUAGGGAAGAACUAAUGUGUAAGUAACUAUGCACGUCUUGACGGUACCUAAUCAGAAAGCCACGGCUAACUACGUG